rnacentral:lncRNA from 1 species
CCGGGUUUGUUCUAUUCGAGCUGAACACUAGUCACUGGGUUCCACGGUUCUCUUCCGUGACCCACGGCUUCCAAUAGAGCUAUAACACUCACUGCAUGGCCCAAGAUUCCAUUCCUUCGAAUCUGUGAGGCCAAGAACCCCAAGUCAGAGAACACGAGGCUUGCCAGCAUCUUGAGAGCCGCCCGCCGCCAUUUUGGAAGCGCCCACCACCAUCUUGGGAGCUCUGGGAGCAAGGACCCCCAGAUAACACCAGGAGGGAAGGAGGAAUGAGAAGCCCCUGCUUGCCUGUCUAUCCCAAAAAAGAAAGGAAAAGGCCAUGGAAAUGCCCCGACCCCUGGGAGUGACAGAGUGGAGUACCUUAGGCAAAUU